UACAGAGGGUGCAAGCGUUAUUCGGAAUUACUGGGCGUAAGGCGCGCGUAGGUGGUUUGUUAAGUUGAAUGUGAAAUCCCCGGGCUCAACCUGGGAACUGCAUCCAAAACUGGCAAGCUAGAGUAGGGUAGAGGGUGGUGGAAUUUCCUGUGUAGCGGUGAAAUGCGUAGAUAUAGGAAGGAACACCAGUGGCGAAGGCGACCACCUGGACUCAUACUGACACUGAGGUGCGAAAGCGUGGGGAGCAAACAGG
rnacentral:rRNA from 1 species